rnacentral:tRNA from 1 species
GGGCAUGUAACUCAGUGGAUAGAGUAUCAGAUUCCGAUUCUGAUGGUCGAAGGUUCAAAUCCUUCCUUGCUCAUGU